rnacentral:lncRNA from 1 species
AUUUGCGGACAAGCACACAGGACGAAAAAAAUAUAUAUAAAAUGUGUAGAAUGAAAAAAAAAAAAAUAAUAAUAACAGAAUAAAAUCAUAAGCCAGUAAAUUAUUUGGAUACGAGUGUUGAAGAUAUCAUUUCACAGCCCUCAAAUUCACUUAGUAAUUAUAAUCCAAGACUAUUCCUAUAAUAUUUAUAUCAAAGUGAUUAUUGAUUUGUCCAUCUAAAAUAUAAAUAUAUAUAUAUAAAAAAACAAGUUUUUUUUUAAAUCUGUGCCAUUUAUAUAGUAUGAAGGUCACCCUCAUCCAUGCUAAGUAAGUGACAUCCCUCAAAAUCUAUCUGAAUGAAACAAGAAACUCAAUAAAUAAUGCUUGAGAG